GACGUAGGGCGCGAGCGUUGUCCGGAUUUAUUGGGCGUAAAGAGCUCGUAGGCGGCUUGUCGCGUCGUCCGUGAAAACCCACAGCUCAACUGUGGGCUUGCGGUCGAUACGGGCAGGCUAGAGUUCGGUAGGAGAGACUGGAAUUCCUGGUGUAGCGGUGAAAUGCGCAGAUAUCAGGAGGAACACCGGUGGCGAAGGCGGGUCUCUGGGCCGAUACUGACGCUGAGGAGCGAAAGCGUGGGGAGCGAACAGG
rnacentral:rRNA from 1 species